GCCCCCACAGCUAGCCCGCUUAAUAUAAAACAACAGCCAACAUUAAUAACCCCAAAAACACAAGCACCUAUUAAACAAAACAUUUUCCCACCUUAGUAUGGGAGACAGAAAAGGUUCUAGGCGCUAUAGAAACAGUACCGCAAGGGAACGCUGAAAGAGAGAUGAAAAAGCCCAGUAAAGGCAUAAAAAGCAGAGAUUAACCCUCGUACCUUUUGCAUCAUGACUUAGCCAGUACCCCUUAAGCAAAGCGUCCUUUAUGUUUAAGCCCCCGAAACUGCGCGAGCUACUCCAAGACAGCCUAUUACAGGGCACACCCGUCUCUGUGGCAAAAGAGUGGGAAGAACUUUGAGUAGAGGUGAUAGACCUACCGAGCCCAGUUAUAGCUGGUUGCCUAAGAAAUGAAUAGAAGUUCACCCUCUUAAUUUCUUCUACCAAAGGAGGCAAGACCGCCCCAUAGGCCAAAAGAACAUCAAGAGAGCUAUUCAAGGGGGGGACAGCCCCCUUGAAAGAAGACACAACUUUAACAGAAGGUUAAAGAUCAAAGAAUAUAAGGAAACGCAUCCUGGUGGGCCUAAAAGCAGCCAUCCCUAUAAAAAGCGUUAAAGCUUAAGUACAAUAUCCCCUAUAAUACCGAAAACCCCAUCCGAAGCCCCUCCAUCUAUUAGGCCCUUCUAUGCACCCAUAGAAGAGAUAAUGCUAACAUGAGUAAUAAGAGGGCCCCGGCCCUCUCCUUGCAGAUCUGUAAAUCAGAACGGACCGCCCACUGAAGACUAACGCACCCAGUAAUAGAGGGAAUUGGGUAACAACAAUAAAAACUAGAAAUUCACCCAACUACGAGCGUUAACCCUACACAGGCCUGCUUCUAGGAAAGACAAAAAGAGAAAGAAGGAACUCGGCAAACACUAGUCUCGCCUGUUUACCAAAAACACCGCCUCUUGCUCCAAUAAUAUAAGAGGUCCCGCCUGCCCUGUGACAAAAGUUUAACGGCCGCGGUAUUUUGACCGUGCGAAGGUAGCGUAAUCACUUGUCUUUUAAAUAGAGACCUGUAUGAAUGGCAUAACGAGGGCUAUGCUGUCUCCUCUCUCCCGUCAAUGAAAUUGAUCUGCCCGUGCAGAAGCGGACAUAAGACCAUAAGACGAGAAGACCCUAUGGAGCUUUAGACACCGAAGCAGACCGCGUUAAGAGCCCCAAACCAAAAGGACUAAACCAAACGAACCCUGCUUUUUUGUCUUUGGUUGGGGCGACCGCGGAGAAAAACCAAACCCCCGCGUGGAAUGGGACCUCCCCUUGAAAAAAGGCCUACAGGCCUAAAAUCCAGAAAGUCUGACCAUAAAGACCCGGCAAUGCCGAUCAACGGACCCAGUUACCCUAGGGAUAACAGCGCAAUCCCCUUUUAGAGCUCACAUCGACGAGGGGGUUUACGACCUCGAUGUUGGAUCAGGACUUCCUAAUGGUGCAGCCGCUAUUAAGGGUUCGUUUGUUCAACGAUUAAAGUCCUACGUGAUCUGAGUUCAGACCGGAGAAAUCCAGGUCAGUUUCUAUCUAUGAUAGCGCUUUUUUCUAGUACGAAAGGACCGAGAAGAGGGGGCCUAUGCUUAAAGUACGCCUCUCCCCCACCUAGUGAUUCCCACUAAAUAAAGAUGAGGGGGCGUGCCUCUUCACCCCAAGAAGUAGGGGUAA
rnacentral:rRNA from 1 species